UAAAGCUAAAUAGCCUCUAGGCCGUCGCACGCAUUCCGAGAGCUCGAAACCCAAAAACGAAAGUAGCUUUAAAACAACAGACCUGACCCCACGAAAGCUAAGAAACAAACUGGGAUUAGAUACCCCACUAUGCUUAGCCUUAAACCAAGAUGUAUACUUACAUACACAUCCGCCCGGGUACUACGAGCAUAGCUUAAAACCCAAAGGACUUGGCGGUGCCUCAGACCCACCUAGAGGAGCCUGUUCUAGAACCGAUAAACCCCGUUAAACCUCACCACUUCUUGUUUUUCCCGCCUAUAUACCGCCGUCGUCAGCUUACCCCGUGAAGGCCCAAUAGUAAGCAAAAUUGGUACACCCAAAAACGUCAGGUCGAGGUGUAGCGUAUGAAGUGGAAAGAAAAUGGGCUACAUUUUCUAUAAACAGAAUACUACGAAUGGCACUCUGAAAACAUGCCUGAAGGUGGAUUUAGUAGUAAAAAGCAAAUAGUGUGUCCUUUUGAAUUAGGCUCUGAGGCGCGCACACACCGCCCGUCACUC
rnacentral:rRNA from 1 species